UACGUAGGGAGCAAGCGUUGUUCGGAUUUACUGGGCGUAAAGGGCGCGUAGGCGGCAAAUUAAGUCAGCUGUGAAAUCUCCGAGCUUAACUCGGAACGGUCAGCUGAUACUGAUCUGCUAGAGUGCGGAAGGGGCAAUCGGAAUUCUUGGUGUAGCGGUGAAAUGCGUAGAUAUCAAGAGGAACACCUGAGGUGAAGACGGGUUGCUGGGCUGACACUGACGCUGAGGCGCGAAAGCCAGGGGAGCAAACGGG
rnacentral:rRNA from 1 species